rnacentral:rRNA from 1 species
GACGAACGCUGGCGGCGUGCUUAACACAUGCAAGUCGAGCGAGGCCCCUCCUUCGGGAGGGUGUCCUAGCGGCGAACGGGUGAGUAACACGUGGGCAACCUGCCCUCAGCUCUGGGAUAACUCCGGGAAACCGGGGCUAAUACCGGAUACGACCUCCACGGGCAUCUGCGGAGGUGGAAAGUUUUUCGGCUGAGGAUGGGCCCGCGGCCUAUCAGCUAGUUGGUGGGGUAGUGGCCCACCAAGGCGACGACGGGUAGCCGGCCUGAGAGGGCGACCGGCCACACUGGGACUGAGACACGGCCCAGAAUCCUACGGGAGGCAGAAGUGGGGAAUAUUGCGCAAUGGGAGAAAGCCUGACGCAGCGACGCCGCGUGAGGGACGAAGGCCUUCGGGUUGUAAACCUCUUUCAGCAGGGACGAAGCGAAAGUGACGGUACCUGCAGAAGAAGCACCGGCCAACUACGUG